rnacentral:rRNA from 1 species
GACGAACGCUGGCGGCGUGCUUAACACAUGCAAGUCGAACGGAAAGACCCUGCUUUUGGGGGGUGCUCUGGUUGCGAACGGGUGAGUAACACUUGAGUAACCUGCCCUUGACUUUGGGAUAACUUCAGGAAAGUGGGGCUAAUACGGGAUAGGAGCUCCUACUGCAUGGUGGGGGUUGAAAAGUUUCGGCGGUUGGGGAUGUACUCGCGGCUUAUCAGCUUGUUGGUGGGGUAGUGGCUUACCAAGGCUUUGACGGGUAGCCGGCCUGAGAGGGUGACCGGACCCACUGCGACUGAGAUACGGCCCAGCCUCCUCCGGGAGGCAGCAGUGGGGAAUAUUGUACAAUGGGAGGAAGCAUGACGUAGCCAAGCAGCGCGCGGGAUGAGGGCAUUCGCGUUGUAAACCGCUUUCGCCUGUCACGAAGCGUGAGUGACGGUAAUGGGUAAAGAAGCACCGGCUAACUCCGUG